AGGCUUAACACAUGCAAGUCGAGGGGUAAGGCUCUUGCUUUCGCUGACGACCGGCGCACGGGUGCGUAACACGUAUACAACUUACCUUUAACUGGGGCAUAGCCCGAAGAAAUUCGGAUUAAUACCCCAUAAUAAUGAAAAUUCGCAUGUUUUUUCAUUUAAAGCUCCGGCGGUUAAAGAUGGGUAUGCGGUCUAUUAGUUUGUUGGUGAGGUAACGGCUCACCAAGACUACGAUAGAUAGGGGGUCUGAGAGGAUGAUCCCCCACACUGGUACUGAGACACGGACCAGACUCCUACGGGAGGCAGCAGUGAGGAAUAUUGGUCAAUGGGCGCAAGCCUGAACCAGCCAUCCCGCGUGUAGGAAGACUGCCCUAUGGGUUGUAAACUACUUUUAUAAAGGAAGAAACCCCCGCACGUGUAAGAGGCUGACUGUACUUUACGAAUAAGCACCGGCUAACUCCGUGCCAGCAGCCGCGGUAAUACGGAGGGUGCAAGCGUUAUCCGGAUUUAUUGGGUUUAAAGGGUGCGUAGGCGGGCCUUUAAGUCAGUGGUGAAAUCCUGCAGCUUAACUGUAGAACUGCCAUUGAUACUGAAGGCCUUGAGUAUAGUUGAGGUAGGCGGAAUGUGUAAUGUAGCGGUGAAAUGCUUAGAUAUUACACAGAACACCGAUUGCGUAGGCAGCUUACUAAGCUAUAACUGACGCUGAUGCACGAAAGCGUGGGGAGCGAACAGGAUUAGAUACCCUGGUAGUCCACGCCGUAAACGAUGAUCACUCGUUGUUGGCAAUACACCGUCAGCGACUGAGCGAAAGCAUUAAGUGAUCCACCUGGGGAGUACGGUCGCAAGAUUGAAACUCAAAGGAAUUGACGGGGGCCCGCACAAGCGGAGGAACAUGUGGUUUAAUUCGAUCAUACGCGAGGAACCUUACCUGGGCUUAAAUGUAGAAUGACCGUACCCGAAAGGCGUCUUCCCUUCGGGGCCUUUUACAAGGUGCUGCAUGGUUGUCGUCAGCUCGUGCCGUGAGGUGUCGGGUUAAGUCCCAUAACGAGCGCAACCCCUAUCGUUAGUUGCUAGCAGGUAAUGCUGAGGACUCUAGCGAGACUGCCACCGUAAGGUGAGAGGAAGGUGGGGAUGACGUCAAAUCAGCACGGCCCUUACGUCCAGGGCUACACACGUGUUACAAUGGCCGAUACAAAGGGCAGCUACCUGGUGACAGGAUGCUAAUCUCGAAAGUCGGUCUCAGUUCGGAUCGGAGUCUGCAACUCGACUCCGUGAAGUUGGAUUCGCUAGUAAUCGUAUAUCAGCAAUGAUACGGUGAAUACGUUCCCGGGCCUUGUACACACCGCCCGUCAAGCCAUGGAAGCCGAGGGUGCCUGAAGUACGUUACCGCAAGGAGCGUCCUAGGGGUAAAACUGGUAACUGGGGCUAAG
rnacentral:rRNA from 1 species